GUGCUCGCUUCAGCAAGCAGCACAUACACUAAAAUUGAAAUGAUACAAAGAAGAUUAGCAUGGCCCCUGCACGAGGAGGGUAUAAGUAUAUAUUGUGAGGUGAUUACUACAGUA
rfam:Canis lupus familiaris chromosome 7, whole genome shotgun sequence.